rnacentral:miRNA from 1 species
GUGGGCUGGCCAAAAAGUUCGUUCGGGUUUUUCCACAUCUUACGGAAAACGCCAAAUGAACUGUUUGGCCAACCCAAU